AACGAACGCUGGCGGCAGGCUUAACACAUGCAAGUCGAACGCCCCGCAAGGGGAGUGGCAGACGGGUGAGUAACGCGUGGGAACGUACCCUUUACUACGGAAUAACUCAGGGAAACUUGUGCUAAUACCGUAUGUGCCCUUCGGGGGAAAGAUUUAUCGGUAAAGGAUCGGCCCGCGUUGGAUUAGCUAGUUGGUGGGGUAAAGGCCUACCAAGGCGACGAUCCAUAGCUGGUCUGAGAGGAUGAUCAGCCACAUUGGGACUGAGACACGGCCCAAACUCCUACGGGAGGCAGGAGUGGGGAAUAUUGGAAAAUGGGCGCAAGCCUGAUCCAGCCCUGCCGCGUGAGUGAUGAAGGCCCUGGGGUUGUAAAGCUCGUUCACCGGUGAAGAUAAUGACGGUAACCGGAGAAGAAGCCCCGGCUAACUUCGUGCCAGCCGCCGCGGUAACAC
rnacentral:rRNA from 1 species